GACGAACACUGGCGGCAGGCUUAACACAUGCAAGUCGAGCGCCGUAGCAAUACGGAGCGGCAGACGGGUGAGUAACGCGUGGGAACGUGCCUUUCGGUUCGGAACAACUGAGGGAAACUUCAGCUAAAACCGGAUACGCCCUGAGGGGGAAAGUUUACGCCGAAAGAUCGGCCCGCGUCAGAUUAGGUAGUUGGAGGGGUAAUGGCCCACCAAGCCGAUGAUCUGUAGCUGGUCUGAGGGGACGAUCAGCCACACUGGGACUGAGACACGGCCCAGUCUCCUUCGGGAGGCAGCCGUGGGGAAUAUUGGACAAUGGGCGCAAGCCUGAUCCAGCCAUGCCGCGUGGAUGAAGAAGGCCCUAGGGUUGUAAAGUCCUUUCGGCGGGGACGAUAAUGACGGUACCCGCAGAAGAAGCCCCGGCUAAUUUCGUGCCAGCCGCCGCAGUAAUAC
rnacentral:rRNA from 1 species